rnacentral:rRNA from 1 species
ACCGUAAGAGUAAAGAAAUUUUAGUUUUAAUUAUGAGGUUUGAAGGUGAAAAGAGAAGUUUUCUUUAAAGGUAAAAUUGAAAGAAAAUAAUUUUUUCUUAAUUUAUUUCUUAAAAAAUUUAGAAUGAGACUAGGAUUAGAUACCCUAUUAUUAUUAAAAAAAAGAAAAUUAGGUAGUAAUGGAAGACUUGAAACUUAAAGAAUUUGGCGGUGUUUUAAUCUUAUCAGAGGAACUUGUAUUUUAAUUCGAAAUUACUCGUCAUAUCUUACUUAAAUUAAAUUUGUAUAUCGUCGUAAAAAUAAAACCUUAAGGUGCAUAUUUAGAAUUAUUUAAUAAAGAAUUACAGAUCAAGGUUCAGUUAUGUUUAAGGUAAAUAUGAGUUACAAUGUUUUGAAAAUAAAUGAAUAAUUUUUUGAAAGGAAAAUUUGAAGGUGGAUUUGAAAGUAAAUUAAAAAAUAAAGAGUU